rnacentral:rRNA from 1 species
AGAGUUUGAUCAUGGCUCAGAUUGAACGCUGGCGGUAUGCUUAACACAUGCAAGUCGAACGGUAACAGGCCUUCGGGCGCUGACGAGUGGCGGACGGGUGAGUAACGCGUAGGAAUCUGCCUCAUAGUGGGGGACAACGUGGGGAAACUCACGCUAAUCCCGCAUACGCCCUACGGGGGAAAGCGGGGGAUCUUCGGACCUCGCGCUAUGAGAUGAGCCUGCGUUAGAUUAGCUAGUUGGUAGGGUAAAGGCCUACCAAGGCGACGAUCUAUAGCUGGUCUGAGAGGACGAUCAGCCACACUGGGACUGAGACACGGCCCAGACUCCUACGGGAGGCAGCAGUGGGGAAUAUUGGACAAUGGGCGCAAGCCUGAUCCAGCAAUACCGCGUGUGUGAAGAAGGCCCUAGGGUUGUAAAGCACUUUCAAUUGGGAGGAAAACCUGUCGGUCAAUACCCGGCAGCUUGACAUUACCUUUAGAAGAAGCACCGGCUAACUCCGUG